rnacentral:rRNA from 1 species
CACGUAGGGCGCGAGCGUUGUCCGGAAUUAUUGGGCGUAAAGAGCUCGUAGGCGGCCUGUUGCGUCCGCUGUGAAAGCCCGGGGCUUAACCCCGGGUCGGCAGUGGAUACGGGCAGGCUAGAGGUAGGUAGGGGAGAAUGGAAUUCCCGGUGUAGCGGUGAAAUGCGCAGAUAUCGGGAGGAACACCGGUGGCGAAGGCGGUUCUCUGGGCAGUUACUGACGCUGAGGAGCGAAAGCGUGGGGAGCGAACAGG